GGGGUUGUGGCUCAGUGGUAGAGCACUUGCCUCGCAUGUGUGAAGCCCUGGGUUCAAGUCUCAGCACCG
rnacentral:tRNA from 1 species